CCAAAGGAAAUAACUUCCUACGCACUGUGAACUGUUUUGACUGACAGUCAGUGACUGUUUGCCCUGCUUACUGUAGGGCUACGUGUUGCUGACUGUACUUACUAAACGUAUUGUAACUGUUAAACUGAACUACUUUAGUAUGAACUAAAGA
rnacentral:misc_RNA from 1 species